rnacentral:lncRNA from 1 species
CCACAGAAAAUAGAUCUCCUAUGUAGGUACUCUGUUGGAGGCUUUAGGCUGUUGGAUACCCAUUUUAGAUUUAGAACUUACAUAGAGAUAGUCUUAGGUAUAGAUUAGCCCCAAAAUAGGCUUCUAUUAUCAUGUUUUUGUCAUAUUGACGAGUGCUCUAUGUGCCAUUGUAUUCUCUCUUUAAUCUUUUCUCUAAUCUUUUUUUCUUCUGAGCCAAAGUUUAAGUUUUCUAAUGAAUAGUCAUAUGCAUCGAUUGAUGCAUAAGUUAAGAUAUCAAUAUAUUCCUUUUUCUAAUUUUUUUUUCUCCAAUCACACAACAUUACAACACGCAAGAAAUUCACCUAGUUAGUUAAAUGGUUGCCCCCCACCCCACCCAUCAUGUCAACUGAGGGCGUUAUGUAUUUAUGACUCGGUCCUUUGAUCAAGCCUUCGAUCAAAUCUAACACCUUUGUGGUUCCAUACCAAGUCUUCUCUUUGUCUCAUAAAAUAUGCCAAUUCAUAUACUGUCAGUGAGUUACUCUGUUAUGAGUCAUAGAGCGUCCUCCCUUCACAAAGGCACUAUGUGUCGG